rnacentral:lncRNA from 1 species
UAAGGGGUAGUAACUGAACACCCACAACUGUUUUGUCAUAAAACCUGGAAACUUACUUGGGGUCAUAAAAUAUAGGAUAGUUACUGAACACCCACAACUGUGGGGUCAUAAAACAUAGUGAACAUCCACAGUCUUGGGUAUAUAAAAAAUGAGAUGGUUACAUGGGGUCAUAAAAUAUGGAAUAUUUAAAUAUGAGCUAUAGCAUAUAAUAAAACCGCAACACCUGCACAAACAACUCCUAAAUAGGCUUUAGUUAUGCAAAAGCACACAUUAAGACUUUAAAAACGUGACGUGUGUUUUAACUUCUUAACUACCACUCCUAAAAUCAUGGCACGACAUGUGAUAAAUCAUCUUGACACUACACCUUUUUCAAUCAUUCAACAUCUGUAGGUCUCUCGAUUUAACCACUCUUUAAUACGUUUUCAGAAAACAGAUAGAAAAGCACACAUUAAGACCACAAAAAACGUGAGGUGACGUGUUAACACUUGUGACACUGCAAGUAAUAAAUCAUCUAAGCACCGCAUUCCUUUUCAAUGAUUCAACACCU